AUUAAAUUUUGAUGUAUUUUGGGUUCUGUCAGAAAUUGAAGUUUUGGAGAUACUGGAAAGGCUUAGCACUUUGUCUAAUUCACUGGAUUGUUUUAUACUAAUAGAGCCUGAUAGUCUUGUGGGGUUCUUAACCCUGGUUCUUGAGUUAUGAUUUUAUUUUGAGAAUUUGGGGUUUGGGUGAUCAAAGAAAUCCACAUAUCAUAAGAUGUAUGCUGUAGAGAGGCUAGGCAGCUACAUCAGCCGAGGUGUGUACACCGUCUCUGGCCCCUUUCACCCAUUUGGUGGAGCUGUGGAUAUCAUAGUGGUGGAGCAGCCAGAUGGGAGCUUCAAGUCCUCACCUUGGUAUGUGAGGUUUGGGAAAUUUCAAGGGGUUUUGAGGGCAAGAGAAAGGGUGGUUACUGUUGCUGUUAAUGGAACUGAUCCAAAUUUUCACAUGUAUCUUGAUCAAAGAGGUGAAGCUUACUUUCUUCGAGAGGUUGAAGGAGAAGAAGGUGAAUCUGUAUCAUAUCUUUCGUCUUCAAGUGAUGAGAUGGAAGAGCAGUCUCAGAAAAGCAGGAGCCCAGUGAAGUCCAAAGGUUGCAAUUAUGAUGGCAUUAAGUUGAAUUCAGAUGACCAGAUUGAUCCAAUUAAGGAGGAUGGUUAUCAAGAGGGAGAUGAUGGUGCUGGAGUGGUAAGGAUAAGUUCAUUUGAGCAUGCAGGGAUUGCAGGCAACCUUGUUGAAAAUUUCAUGUUGAAUGAAAGUGAUCUGGAAGAAAAAUCGGUGGAGAUAUCUGAAAUAUCAAGAAAAAUUGAUGAACAUAGUUUAGAGAAUGCUGCUCAAGAUAAUGAUGCUGAGGAUGUGUUCCCAGAGGUCAUCUGUUCUGAUUCACAAAUUGCAGAUAAGUUUGAAGCAUGCCCUGGUAAGGAGUUGGAUGAGAAACAGGCUUAUGAUGAAAGAAAUGUUGUAUUGCCAGGCUUUGGCAGUUCUCAGGAGGAAAGUGGUUCCAGUAGAGCUCAAUCUUUCAUUUAUUGUGAGGCAUCCAAUAUUUCAAUAAUGGGGUUGGAUGCUUCAAAAGAACAAUCUGAGGAGACACUAUACCUUACUAGUGGGGAAACCGUGGAAGCUCUUUUUUGUGCUGAAACUUUGCAUGUGACUGCUGAGCCAUUAGCGGAGGAUACAGUUAACCUGCAAGCUGAGGAUAUAGAGUUGGAUCAAGGACACAUUGAAUCUUGUGAAACAAAUCCAUCUUCUUCUUCCAUACCUGGCCAUGAUGAGGCAAAUCUUGAAGUACCAUUAACAGUGUCAACAUCCUGUGCUCAAACAGUCCAUGUUGACUCUGUUCUUGGUUCAGUUGAGGUAGAGUCAAAGUGCAUUAGCCCUGUUUCCAGUUUUAGCAAUUCAGUUGAUCAAAUUCAAGAUGAAAUGAAUAUUGGGGAUAACAUUACUAGGGAUGAACUGCAACCUUCUCUAGAGUCAGCUGGUGACUUGGAACAACUUAAUGGUGAUUUUAACCCAACAAAAGCAGCUAAGAUUCGAGUUUCUGGGAGUUCAGGGGAAGACAAAUUCUUCUUGAGUGAUAUUGAUGACUUUGAACUCAAAGAAACUCGGGGUGAUUCAAAUUUUCCAGGUGUUGUUGAUAAAGAAAAUUAUUCCUCAUUUUGUCCAGAAGGAAUUAAUUUAGUGAAUGGGCUGCUAAAUACAAAUGAUGAAUCUUAUUCUUCUCCGGACAACUUUGUUCAAGAUAAUGGAUUGGGUGACUUCAAAAACUUGACAGAAAAUUCAAAUUUAACAUCAAGUGCUGUUCGUAUUCCUAAACAACAGAGUGUUGCAGAUGUAGAAGUUGUGCAGGUGGCAGAAUCAUUACUCGAUUUAAGGUCUCACAUUGAUAAUCUAGGUACAGAGGACCCUAGCUUUCCAAGCCAUUCACUGGACUUGAAUUCUGAAUCCCUGGAGUGGAAAUUGCAGAGCAAGAAUGAGUCACACUUUACACGUUCAGUUACAGGCAAUGAAAAUAAGUCAGUGGAGGAUUAUUCCAAUGAGGAAGAUAUUCAUCAUUUGGAAGAUAUCAAAAAUGAUGUUAGCAAUCCUGCUGUUGAGAUAUCUCUUUGCAAACACUCAUUAUAUGAAGGAAUGGGAACUGAAGCUGCUUCUCAAGCAUUUGAUGCUGAAAAGUUGGAUAUAAGAAAAUUUACUUCUAUAGGUUCUGCAGUUGUGAAGAAUGAUAGGGUUGUUGUUAGAAUUGGUGGCCAUUACUUUCCUUGGGAUGCAGCUGCUCCUAUUGUUUUAGGACUGGUAGCAUUUGGAAGUGAAAACAUAUUUGAACCAAAAGGCAUGAUACCUGUUGAUCGAGUUGAGAAAUCUCCUGUAGAGUGUCCAUCAGAAAAUACCACUGGCGGAAGCUGGAGACUUUGGCCUUUCCCAUUUGGAAGAUCAAGAUACAGGAAGACCAUGCAGCCAGCUCUAAGUGAUACCAGAAGUUCUGAUGAUUUGAUUGUUUCAGACAGCAGCAUUUGCAUGGAUGAUGAUAAAAGUAUGCUCGAAGGAAAGGCCUCAGUCAAGAUGAUAAAGGCAACUGCUCCAACAUCGGAAGAGCUGGCAUCCUUGAAUCUGAAGGAAGGGAGUAAUGCAGUAACAUUCACCUUCUCCACAGCAGUGCUGGGGAAGCAGAAGGUUGAUGCUAGAAUUUAUUUGUGGAAAUGGAACACUAGCAUAGUGAUCUCAGAUGUUGAUGGGACAAUAACAAAAUCAGAUGUUCUAGGUCAGUUCAUGCCUUUGGUUGGGAUAGAUUGGUCACAAACUGGCGUUGCACAUUUAUUUUCAGCUAUUAAGGAUAAUGGGUAUCAAUUCCUUUAUCUAAGUGCACGUGCAAUUGCUCAAGCCUAUAUUACUAGACAGUUCCUAGUUAACCUUAAGCAGGAUGGAAAAGCUCUGCCAGAUGGUCCCGUUGUUAUAUCCCCUGAUGGACUUUUCCCCUCUCUAUAUCGUGAAGUCAUUAGAAGGGCGCCUCAUGAAUUCAAGAUUGCAUGCCUGAAGGAAAUCAGGGAAUUGUUUCCUUCUGAUUGCAACCCUUUCUAUGCUGGUUUUGGUAAUAGAGAUACUGAUGAGAUUAGCUACCUAAAGGUUGGAAUCCCAAAGGGAAAGAUCUUCAUCAUUAAUCCCAAGGUACUUAAGAGGGUGAGGUUGCUGUGAACCGCCUUGUUGACACAAGAUCAUAUACUUCCCUUCAUGCUCUUGUGCACGGCAUGUUCCCAGCCAGGACAUCAUCUGAGAAGGAGGAGUAUAAUUCAUGGAAUUUCUGGAAAUUGCCACCCCUUGAUAUUGAUAUUUGAAGGUGUCAAGUGAAAUUUUUGCUUAAUUCUCUGAAUGCGGAGAUUAUUGGGUUUCUGACCAAGACUGUUGUAGAACUAUUCAGCUAAAUUCUUAUUUUAGCAUCUAUGUAAUUUGACAAGAUUGUAGGAAAGGACAGUCUGAAAGCUUGUUUAAAAAAAUGACUAGUCACGUUUCAAACUGCCAGGGCUUGACUGGUGAUUAAAUUACACUGGAGACGUUUUAGAACCCUUGUUUUAAAACAGUAGCAGUUGAGAGAGAGAGAGACAUUUCAGAUUAGUUUGUGGCUAUUUUGUUUAUUUCUUCGCAGUCGUAUUGUGGCCUGAUUGCAGAAGUUCCCCAUUUGAUCAUCCGUUGCUGACCCAAAAGCACAUUAUAGAUCUGCACAAGAAAAGUCUAAUUCAUUAUGUCUGUAUUUUGCUUCAUAAACAGUUGAACUGUACAAAUACGAUUAUAUUGUAUAGCACAUACACUUAGUAAUUAGUCCCAUGAAUAUAAGCAUUUCUCAUUCUUGAAAA